GGGUGCAUGGCGUAAUCGGAAGCGCGCGGGGCCCAUAUUCUGUACAACCCCGAGGUCACUCGAUCGAAACGAGUUGCUGCUA